rnacentral:rRNA from 1 species
UACGUAGGGUGCGAGCGUUACUCGGAAUUACUGGGCGUAAAGCGUGCGCAGGCGGUUUUGUAAGACAGGCGUGAAAUCCCCGAGCUUAACUUGGGAAUGGCGCUUGUGACUGCAAGGCUAGAGUAUGUCAGAGGGGGGUAGAAUUCCACGUGUAGCAGUGAAAUGCGUAGAGAUGUGGAGGAAUACCGAUGGCGAAGGCAGCCCCCUGGGACGUCACUGACGCUCAUGCACGAAAGCGUGGGGAGCAAACAGG